rnacentral:ribozyme from 12 species
UGUAUAUCGAAGGUAAUGGAUAUCUACAUAUGAAAAAAAGGCGUAGAUAGAUACACGCCAUAACCUCGGGCGUGUGUUGUGUGUGUGUUUUUUUUUGUUCUUCUUCUUCUUGUUCUAUUUCUUCUUCUUC